UACGAAGGGGGCUAGCGUUGCUCGGAAUCACUGGGCGUAAAGCGCACGUAGGCGGCUUGUUAAGUCAGGGGUGAAAUCCUGGAGCUCAACUCCAGAACUGCCUUUGAUACUGGCGAGCUUGAGUCCGGGAGAGGUUAGUGGAACUGCGAGUGUAGAGGUGAAAUUCGUAGAUAUUCGCAAGAACACCAGUGGCGAAGGCGGCUCACUGGCCCGGUACUGACGCUGAGGUGCGAAAGCGUGGGGAGCAAACAGG
rnacentral:rRNA from 1 species